rnacentral:rRNA from 1 species
GUGGGGAAUAUUGGACAAUGGGGGGAACCCUGAUCCAGCCAUGCCGCGUGCGUGAAGAAGGCCUUUUGGUUGUAAAGCACUUUAAGCGAGGAGGAGGCUACCGAGAUUAAUACUCUUGGAUAGUGGACGUUACUCGCAGAAUAAGCACCGGCUAACUCUGUGCCAGCAGCCGCGGUAAUACAGAGGGUGCAAGCGUUAAUCGGAUUUACUGGGCGUAAAGCGCGCGUAGGUGGCCAAUUAAGUCAAAUGUGAAAUCCCCGAGCUUAACUUGGGAAUUGCAUUCGAUACUGGUUGGCUAGAGUAUGGGAGAGGAUGGUAGAAUUCCAGGUGUAGCGGUGAAAUGCGUAGAGAUCUGGAGGAAUACCGAUGGCGAAGGCAGCCAUCUGGCCUAAUACUGACACUGAGGUGCGAAAGCAUGGGGAGCAAACAGGAUUAGAUACCCUAGUAGUCC